rnacentral:rRNA from 1 species
UACGUAGGGUGCAAGCGUUGUCCGGAAUUAUUGGGCGUAAAGAGCUCGUAGGCGGUCUGUCGCGUCUGCUGUGAAAACUCAGGGCUUAACCCUGAGCUUGCAGUGGGUACGGGCAGACUAGAGUGCGGUAGGGGAGACUGGAAUUCCUGGUGUAGCGGUGAAAUGCGCAGAUAUCGAGGAGGAACACCGGUGGCGAAGGCGGGUCUCUGGGCCGUAACUGACGCUGGAGGAGCGGAAAGCGUGGGGAGCAAACGGG